rnacentral:rRNA from 1 species
CGCAUCUGUGCAUGCAGCAUAUCAAUAAGCGGAGGAAAAGAAACUAACAAGGAUUCCCCUAGUAACGGCGAGUGAAGCGGGAAGAGCUCAAAUUUGAAAUCUUAAAGGGUUUCCCUUUACGAAUUGUAGUUUAAAGAAGUGUUUUCUGUUGAGGUUUUGGUAAAAGUUCUUUGGAAUAGGACAUCAUAGAGGGUGAGAAUCCCGUAUUUGACCUUUACUUUCAACUUUGUGAUACACUUUCAAAGAGUCGGAUUGUUUGGGAAUGCAGUCCAAAAUGGGUUGGUUAAAUUUCAUCUAAAGCUAAAUAUUGGCGAGAGACCGAUAGCGAACAAGUACCGUGAGGGAAAGAUGAAAAGAACUUUGAAAAGAGAGUUAAACAGUACGUGAAAUUGUCAAAAGGGAAGCGUUUGACACCAGUGUUGUUUUUCCGAAAAUCAAUUAAAGAACUGUUUAUGCUAAGCUGUUUAGACUUUAUCAGCUAACUGUUUAGUUUCGAGCUUUUCUUUAAUGCACUUUUCAGUUAACAAGUCAACAUCAAUUUCUUUUGUUGUAAAAGAGUAUUCGGAAGGUGGCUUUCUUUUCGGAGAAAGUGUUUAUAGCCCUAUACUUCUACAAUCGGAGAGAUUGAGGUCUGCAGCGUAGAUCCUUCGGGGUUAGAUACAUUCUGUGCUAAGCUGUAGCUUUUCAUAGACAACUUGUUGACUAUGUUUAGUCAUGUGGCUUACCCGCUGGCGCUAUUUUACCUACGCUUAGGAUGUUGAGCGCAUGUCUCUCUCG